CGGAGGCGUGCACGCGAGUGCAGAGCGCCUGAGCGCGCAGCGGAGAGCGCGGGCCGCGGCGGCGAGAGGCCCCGCCCGGGACCCGGGACCCGCCUCCGGCUCGGGGGCCGAGGCUGGGACUCUCGGGCUCGGAGGCAGACGGCGUCGCUCCUGCGGACCGAGACGCGGCGCGGCCUGCAAGCUCGGAGGGGCCGUCCGCGCUGGAGGCCUCCGGGGGCGCCGCCUGGAGAAGCCUCUUGCACUGCUCCCAGCACGUCCUCGUCGGUCUGGAGUUCACAGCUGCCCCGGAAAAGUGAACGCGCUCAAAGCCUGCACGCCCCGUCUGCUACAUUCUAACGGAACCCGGGAUUUCAGACCUGAAGUCAUUUAAACUGAAUUCGCUGAAAUGCCAAGCAAAUAAAACGACUAACGGCUUUUUAAAACGGCUAUUAGGGCUGCGUGAGCGGGGGGAGAAUUGCUUCCUGGAAAUGUGCUGAUGGGACAACUAUAGAAAGCAUUGGUCUUUGUUUUUAGCUAUUAAAAGCUGUAAAUCUAAACCGCUCAGAGGAAGAUUGAGCGGAGAUGAUGGAACCCGAUCCAUUGGAGAUCCUGAUACUAACCUGCCUCGUGUUAAAGCCAGACCAGCCAAGGACACCGGGAGGAAGCCUGCGAUGCGCGGACGUCAGGCGGCUGUGGAAGUGGGAAGGAGGGGCACUCCCGGGGAAGCGAGCAUCCCGCUGGAAAAGGGAGCAUGAAGCUGUUUCGUAAGGUUUAGGCUCCCACCAAACGAGUCAGGAGGGUCUAGGAGUGCGGGGAUCCGCUCUGGACUGGACGCUGUUUCUGAGGCAGGAUUAGGAAAAGCGGAGGUUAACCAGGGAUUGGAUGCUGUCUGAGGAGAAGACCGUUUAGGAACUGGGUACGCCCGGUAAUAAAUGAAAAUAGCAAAGUGGGCCUGAGCCUCCUUGGUGAGAAAGCGAAGAGAGGUGAUCUGGCAUUUUCCAGCUGCCGCUUGGCAGCAGGAAAAACACGAUUCUCUGUUAACUUUGCAGCCGGCUUUGUGUCCGUCCUCCCAGCACUGCUGUUUUUUCUCAUUUCAGCCUGAGCUGGAUUUUAUUCUUUUGCUUUUAAAUUCUUUAAAACCAAGAAUUUUCACUCUUUGACCAAGCGUGCAGAACUAGGCAGAAUUAGGGUUCUGCCUUUGUAGCUCCAAGCUGCUUUCAGUCCCAUUCUAACAUGGAAAGAAGUAAUUUUCACUUCAGCAGUUCAGUUUUCAUCUUGCCUCUCCUUAUUCUAACGUCAUGCGUUUACUGGGAAUAGAGAAAAGAUGGGAAUAAAGAAAGGAAACAGUCAAGAAGUUAGGAGAUGGGGUAAAGAAGGUAUUGAAUUGUAGAAGAGUGAAGAAACUAGUCCUGGGGAACAUAAAAGGAUGUUUCAUGGCUGCCCUUGUUUUAGGAACACUGGGGCAGGAGUAUGAGGAGGCAUUUUCAAAAAUUGGAGAAUGUUUAACCUUUCUCAGUGAUCCUAGGCUCACAGAGAUCCCAAAUGGAAAGAUCAAGGGCCAAAUUCAGCCAGCAAAAAUGUUUCACUUGGCCCACAUGGUAGUUUUCUAAAUAUAUUUUAAGUACAUACUAAAAUUCAAUAAAUCAGGACAUUUCACUUUAAAAUCUAGAUUUCUAGUUUAUCUGGAAAACACGAGAUCUGGGCCUCUUUACUGGGUCUCUAUUGGGCCUAUGGUGUGCUUCACUCAUUUUCAUUACCUGCCUGGCUGCUAUAGAAGUUUUUUUGUGACUUCUGAGAAUUCUACAACUUAAACAGAGAAAAUACUAAAAGUAGGUGAAAAGAAGUUGAACAAUUCAACUAGAGUCCAUGUCUGCCUUGUUCACUACUGUAAGAUAGUAAUUAAAUCAUUAUUAAAUGAAGAAAGAAAGAAACCAGGAAUAAGAGCAGCCAUUCUCAGGAAAAUAUGUUGAAACUGAGCUUUGGGCUGUGUUCAGUAUGGACUAAAAUGAACCCUAGAGAUACAGUCAGAGUCUGUGUUGGUAACUAUAGAGUUCUUAUCUACACCCAGAUUUGAAACAAUAUAUUCAGGGUACUGUAAAGGACAGCUGAGAAAGCGGGCAUGUCAAUGGAUAGAAUGGCGAAAGAAUUGCUUAGAUUAGGGAGGAAUGAAGAAUAGUUGCUGAAAGAGAAUAAAAUACAAAGACAAAAUGGACCUAGUUAGAGAAGAAUUGUGAAAUGGAUUUAGAAGCAGACGGAUUGAAAGCAAUGGGGAAUUAUUGUAUGGAUGUGGCUUCAUACGUAACUUCAGAGACUACUGAAGCUAGUCUAAAGCUAGACUGCUGGAGCUAAAGACAGCAUUAGAGAUCAUCCAGUUCUAGUCCAACUCCAACAUUUCACAAAUGGGGAGAUGAUGGUCGGGGAAUUUAAGAAAGCUGCUUAAAGUCACAAAACUAGGUAGGAACAGAACCAUGUCUAGAGGCCUCCUCACUUUUCCUCGUCUGCUGCUCUUGCCUCUACCCCACAUUUUUUCUGUUGCAGUGAUCCUCAGUGAAUUAUUAUUUGGUUCAUUUAAUAAUUAUUUAUUAAGCAUUUGUUCUGUGUAAAUGUUAGAAUUAGUAACCAUAACAUAGUCAGAGAUCAUCUUUGAGAUACCAUUCAGAUUAUUUGACCUAGCCAAAUGCUGUUCAGUAAUCAUAGUCCUUUGAAAUCUAAUUAAAUCUGUUAAUUGUACAGUUUUCCUAUAAGCCAUUUCAUAAAUGUCUAUGUCUCAUUAGAAUUGUAGACUUUAAAAACCAAAUAAAAUACUGACUACUUAGAACUGGAAUGAGGCAAAGGGUCUGCUAUUUCAACAAAAGAAAGCAAGCGCAUAUAGCAAUAGUCUAUAAUCUGAUUUUAAGUGAAAUGACGACAAUAUUUUUGCACUCAUAUUCUGUCUGAAUCAUUGAUAUGGAUAAAAUAAAACUAGCGGGGGCCGGCCCCAUGGUGCAGCAGUUAAGUUCGCAUGUUCCGUUUCUCAGCGGCCUGGGGUUCCCUGGUUCAGAUCCUGGGUUGGGACAUGGCACCGCUUGGCAAGCCAUGCUGUGGUAGGCAUCCCACAUAUAAAGUAGAGGAAGGUGGGCAUGGAUGUUAGCUCAGGGCCAGUCUUCCUCAGCAAAAAGAGGAAGAUUGGCAGUAGUUAGUUCAUGGCUAAUCUUCCUCAAAAAAAAAAAAAAAAAAACUAGAGAAUUAAAGGAAAUAUGUAGAAUUUGGCAUGUGUGAUACCAGCUUCUAAGAGGGCCCCUAAACAUUCUUAUCACCAGGUCCUGACACCUUUGUGUAUUGCCCUCCCACACUGACCUGUAUAAUCAAUGAGAUAUUGCAGAAAAAUAUGUGUGACUUUUGAGGCCAGCUCAUAGAAGGUGUUGUGGCUUUGCCAUGUUCUCUCUUGGAUUACCAGCCCUGGGAGAAGCCAGCUGCCAUAUCAUGAAGACACUCAUGCAGCCCUAUGGAGAGGUCACAUGGCAAGGAACUGAAGGCUCCUGCCUUGCCAGGCAUGAGAAUGAGCCACCUUAAAAGCAGAUCCCACAGCCCCAGUCAAACCUUCAGAUGAUUGCAACCCCAGCUGACAUCUUGACCACAAGCUCAUGAGAGACCCUGAGCCAGAGCCACUCACCUAAAUUGCACCUGGAUUCCUGAUUCACUAGAACUGUGUGAACUCUAAGUGUUUAAUUUUCUGAGCUGCUGAAUUGUGAGAUAAUUUGUUCUGCAGCGAUAGGUAAUACUGAGUGUAAAGCCUGGACCCCUGAAAUCAUUUACAAAGUUGUAUGUCUACGAGAAUAUGGCAGAACCAAAACAUUCAACUUGAUUUAAUAGAACUGUUUAUUUUUUUCCCUAAGCUUUCUCCCUUUAAAGGAAUGUACAACUGAUUUUGUUGUUAUUUUUGGCGGGGGAGGGAGAGGUGUGGUAUGCAGAUUCUUCCUUUCCAGGAACUGUUUGAAGACUGAGCUGAUUACAUCCCUAAAGAGAGUAGAUCAGCACUGAUAACUUGGGGUCAGCCUGCAGGGGCCAUCAACGUCUCUAGUAAAAGAAAAGAAGAGAAUGGAACUUUGUGUUGAGAAAUAAUGAAGAUUUGAAAUGACAAUGUAUAUAUUGAAGUGGGCAGGCAGAGAGGAUUGUCCAAAUGGCAAGGGUAUGGAUUGCUGGAUCUAAACUUGCCUAAGAAAGUCCUGCUGCCAGGAGAUGUGGAGUGAUUGGACUCAGAGAAGAGGAGAAGAUUCCUCUAGGAGGACGUGUAAAGUGCUCAGGAGCCUCGUGGGUCAGAGCACUUGCAACACCCAAGGCCUCCUCUCAUGCUGGAUGUGGAAGCCUGCUUCUCUUGUUAAGCACCAGGACGCCAUCAUUUUAUUACUGUUUGGGAAGAACCCAAGUUAUGCCCGGCAGUGCCACUAAGUUGGAUUCUUUGCCUUUUGACCCUCUGCAGUGUUGUAGGGCACCUCUGCCCAAAGAGACCCCAUGAACACCUGCAAGUGGAGACGUGGGAGAGGAUCUGAGGAAGGCACAACUAAAGAAGCUUGAGACCCUCCUCUCAACUACGACAGCGAUCGGAGGAAGCCCUUCUCAUAUGUGGAUGCCCGUUUUUCUGGGGAGAGAGUCUACAGCUUUCCUCAGAUUUUCAAAGCUCCAGGAAGGCAACAGCUGACCUUGUAUUUCCAGAGCUGGGACAGUCGCCUGACACUAGUGGAUCCCAGGAAAUUGAAAGCAUCUGGAAGGAGUGAGUGAAGACGUCUUAGUCUAUCAUUUUGGCUGAUAUAAAAGAAUACAACAGAC
rnacentral:lncRNA from 1 species